rnacentral:rRNA from 1 species
UACGGGGGGGGCAAGCGUUGUUCGGAAUUACUGGGCGUAAAGGGCUCGUAGGCGGCCAACUAAGUCGGAUGUGAAAUCCCCAGGCUUAACCUGGGAACUGCAUCCGAUACUGGAUGGCUUGAAUCCGGGAGAGGGAUGCAGAAUUCCAGGUGUAGCGGUGAAAUGCGUAGAUAUCUGGAGGAACACCGGUGGCGAAGGCGGCAUCCUGGACCGAUAUUGACGCUGAUGCGCGAAAGCCAGGGGAGCAAACGGG